AUACGAAGGGAGCAAGCGUUAUUCGGAAUCACUGGGCGUAAAGGACGCGUAGGCGGGUUUGUAAGUCAGGUGUGAAAUCCUACAGCUCAACUGUAGAACUGCACUUGAAACUACAGACCUAGAGUAUGGAAGGGGCAGAUGGAAUUAGUGGUGUAGGGGUAAAAUCCGUAGAUAUCACUAGGAAUACCGAAAGCGAAGGCGAUCUGCUGGGACAUUACUGACGCUGAGGCGUGAAAGCGUGGGGAGCAAACAGGAUUAGAAACCCCGGUAGUCC
rnacentral:rRNA from 1 species